CACCCGAUCCCAUCUCGAACUCGGAAGUUAAGCCCUAUUGCGCCGAUGGUACUGCGCGGGUAACUAGCGUGGGAGAGUAGGUCG
rnacentral:rRNA from 1 species